ensembl:snoRNA small nucleolar RNA U2-19
AUUCUAUAAAAAUAGCCAAACCUGAGUAUCAGAAGACCUACUAAUCUCCCUGAUUGAUCUCUGUAGUUCUGAGA